rnacentral:rRNA from 1 species
UACGGAGGGUGCAAGCGUUAUCCGGAUUUACUGGGUUUAAAGGGUGUGUAGGCGGGUCUAUAAGUCAGUUGUGAAAUCUCCGGGCUCAACCCGGAAACUGCCAUUGAUACUAUAGGUCUUGAAUAUUGUGGAGGUGGGCGGAAUGUGUCAUGUAGCGGUGAAAUGCUUAGAGAUGACACAGAACACCGAUUGCGAAGGCAGCCCACUACGCAACUAUUGACGCUGAGGCACGAAAGCGUGGGGAUCAAACAGG